CCUACGGGGGGCAGCAGUGAGGAAUAUUGGUCAAUGGGCGGGAGCCUGAACCAGCCAAGUCGCGUGAGGGAAGACGGUCCUAUGGAUUGUAAACCUCUUUAGGCGGGGAGCAAUGCCGGGCACGUGUGCCCGGAGGGAGAGUACCCGCAGAAUAAGCAUCGGCUAACUCCGUGCCAGCAGCCGCGGUAAUACGGAGGAUGCGAGCGUUAUCCGGAUUUAUUGGGUUUAAAGGGUGCGCAGGCGGUCUGUUAAGUCAGCGGUCAAAGCCCGGGGCUCAACCCCGGCCCGCCGUUGAAACUGGCAGUCUCGAGUUGGAGAGAAGUAUGCGGAAUGCGCGGUGUAGCGGUGAAAUGCAUAGAUAUCGCGCAGAACUCCGAUUGCGAAGGCAGCAUGCCGGCUCCACACUGACGCUGAGGCACGAAAGCGUGGGUAUCGAACAGGAUUAGAUACCCUUGUAGUC
rnacentral:rRNA from 1 species